rnacentral:rRNA from 1 species
UGGGGAAUCUUGCACAAUGGGGGCAACCCUGAUGCAGCCAUGCCGCGUGGAGGAAGACACCCCUAUGGGGCGUAAACUCCUUUUCUGAGAGAAGAAACCCCUGUAGGUUCAGGGUGUGACGGUAUCUCAGGAAUAAGCACCGGCUAACUCCGUGCCAGCAGCCGCGGUAAUACGGAGGGUGCAAGCGUUGUCCGGAAUCACUGGGCGUAAAGGGUGCGCAGGCGGGGCAGCAAGUCGGAGGUGAAAGCCCAUGGCUCAACCAUGGAAGUGCCUUCGAAACUGUUGCUCUUGAGUCCCGGAGAGGCUGCCGGAAUUCGUGGUGUAGCGGUGAAAUGCGUAGAGAUCACGAGGAACACCAGAGGCGAAAGCGGGCAGCUGGACGGGUACUGACGCUCAGGCACGAAAGCGUGGGGAGCAAACA